UACGGAGGGGGCUAGCGUUGUUCGGAAUUACUGGGCGUAAAGCGCACGUAGGCGGCUUUGCAAGUUAGAGGUGAAAGCCCGGGGCUCAACUCCGGAAUUGGCCUUUAAAACUGCAUCGCUAGAAUUGUGGAGAGGUAAGUGGAAUUCCGAGUGUAGAGGUGAAAUUCGUAGAUAUUCGGAAGAACACCAGUGGCGAAGGCGACUUACUGGACACAUAUUGACGCUGAGGUGCGAAAGCGUGGGGAGCAACAGG
rnacentral:rRNA from 1 species